rnacentral:rRNA from 1 species
CAAGGUCUCCGUUGGUGAACCAGCGGAGGGAUCAUUACUGAGUUUACGCUCUACAACCCUUUGUGAACAUACCUAUAACUGUUGCUUCGGCGGGUAGGGUCUCCGUGACCCUCCCGGCCUCCCGCCCCCGGGCGGGUCGGCGCCCGCCGGAGGAUAACCAAACUCUGAUUUAACGACGUUUCUUCUGAGUGGUACAAGCAAAUAAUCAAAACUUUUAACAACGGAUCUCUUGGUUCUGGCAUCGAUGAAGAACGCAGCGAAAUGCGAUAAGUAAUGUGAAUUGCAGAAUUCAGUGAAUCAUCGAAUCUUUGAACGCACAUUGCGCCCGCCAGCAUUCUGGCGGGCAUGCCUGUUCGAGCGUCAUUUCAACCCUCAAGCUCUGCUUGGUGUUGGGGCCCUACAGCUGAUGUAGGCCCUCAAAGGUAGUGGCGGACCCUCCCGGAGCCUCCUUUGCGUAGUAACUUUACGUCUCGCACUGGGAUCCGGAGGGACUCUUGCCGUAAAACCCCCCAAUUUUCCAAAGGUUGACCUCGAAUCAGGUAGGAAUACCCGCUGAACUUAAGCA